AACGCACAUUGCGCCCGCCAGUAUUCUGGCGGGCAUGCCUGUUCGAGCGUCAUUUCAACCCUCAAGCUCUGCUUGGCGUUGGGGAUCGGCAGCCCGGCUUCGUGCCGCGCCGUCCCCCAAAUACAGUGGCGGUCACGCUGCAGCUUCCUUUGCGUAGUAGCACACCUCGCACCGGAGAGCAGCGCGGCCACGCCGUAAAACCCCCGACUUCUUGUUUUUGACCUCGAAUCAGGUAGGACUACCCGCUGAACUUAA
rnacentral:misc_RNA from 1 species